UACGGGGGGGGGCAAGCGUUGUUCGGAAUUACUGGGCGUAAAGGGCUCGUAGGCGGCCAACUAAGUCGGAUGUGAAAUCCCCAGGCUCAACUUGGGAACUGCAUCCGAUACUGGAAGGCUUGAAUCCGGGAGAGGGAUGCGGAAUUCCAGGUGUAGCGGUGAAAUGCGCAGAUAUCAGGAAGAACACCAAUGGCGAAGGCAGCUCUCUGGGACGGUACUGACGCUGAGACGCGAAAGCGUGGGGAGCGAACAGG
rnacentral:rRNA from 1 species